CGACCAUAGACAAGUCCAUGUGCACUUCAAUUUCGAUCGAUCAUAUGUUUUCUUUGUGUAGUUUUUUCAGCCGCUGUAAUUCGAAUUGGUUAUAAAGUUCACGUGUUAAAUUGCCUGAAAACCCUCAAUAAUCGGCUCGUAGUGCUAUAUUGACGCUCGUAUGGUGUCUCUAGUGUGUGGAUAUAUAAAAUUUUGAGACAAAAUUACGUGGUGCAUAAUAGGUGCAUUUCUAUGUGCACGUGCUUGCAUUUUUCAGGCUAAUUGUAAAGUUUCAGAUUAAAAGUGCGUUGCAAGGUGACCUUAGAUUCAUAAGAGCUGUCCUAUUUAUGCAACCACCUCCGCCCGAGCCCAAUUUUUCGGUUUAUCCUAUAAAAAACGUGUGUACAACAGUGUAAAAUAAGUUUGAAAUCUUAGGUUGGAAAAUACUUUAGUGGUUUUAUUUCAACCCAGUGUCGUCAUGAAUCUCGCAUCCUGGAUUAGUAUUUCGUUGGAUGAAGUGUCUGUGAUAAAUACACCUAAAAUGAAAUACCACAUGUGCCAGUGUAAAAUAUGUGCAAAAAGUAAUUUUAUAGUGAACAAUUGUAACAAAAGUUGUGCAAACGACCAAUAUAAAACGUGAAAAUAAUUAUAAAAUAUUGAAAUGUGUGAAAGUCAACAGUUUUCCUAGUUGUGUUUAUAAAAAGUGCGCAUUGGAUGCAGUGUUCUUCGCUAGAUGGCGUUACUUGGAUUAUUGCUGAGCAAGUGAGAUACUUGUUUAGCCACUCCACGCUAGAUGGCGCUUUUGGGUGAGUACUGAACUUCUUGGAUGCUUCAAUUCCGUUUGAAUAUAAGGAGAUUCAUGCGGUUCACUGGCCGAUAAACUGUGAUAACAAAUGAGGUUGAAGGCGGCCCCUUGAUAACAACUAUGGUACCUUCCAUACACCGCAUACCACCACUUGCAGCAAUGAUCUAACGCGACCCGUCCGAAGCUCAGCAUUAUUUCAUCUAGCGUUAAGUUUAUUUCCGUUCACCAUUAUAUUAGACUCUUUAUGUUAGAAUCAAACCGUGUAAAAUAUUUGUUUCUACAAACCCUACUUUGAUCUGGAAUAUUACGAAAUGUGUAGUCGAUACUCAUCACCGGUCUUUUACUUACAUUGUUAGUACCUUCUCUACGACGUGAUAGUGCUCUACCGCAGUUUCGUAUAUUCUUAGGGAGAUUUGAUUCAUGACUUGGAGUAGUCCAAUAUUGUUACAUUAAGUAAUACAUGUAUUUACCAUCAGUUAUGGUAAAAUCUCGGAGGAAAAUGCAAAAAUGCUCCUUUAGUUUAUAAGUUUUAUGACUUUUGUGAUCUUUACAACGUUUUUUCCGUUUUCCUCCGCGAUCGUCACAAGUUCGCGCAUUUUCAUUGUUUUAUUACUCAAUUCUUUAUUUGUGUUGUCUAUACGUGUUUUGAAUUAUAUUGACUAACAAAUACUAAACAAUUCUAACGCAUGACUCCUUAUUUUUACUAUAUCAACUCGCGAGUAUGCAUGACAUCAAAUAAUGUUGUUUUAAUAGUUUAAUCAUUUUAGUUUUAAUUGUUUUUGUUCAAUAUUUAGACAACCUGCUACACUGACAUGUUUAUAUUUUAAUUAAGUUUAAUAGUUUAUUGUAAUUUAUAUAUAUUGAUUGUGUUUACUUCAACAAUUUGUAAAUUUUAUCAAUCAUCAUUAUCAUAUCAGUCGUAUACAGUCUUACGCCUUGCUCCAUAAAACUUGAUUUUACGUUAAACUGUGAUCGCUUAAAUUCGAGUUUUAGUUCAUGCAUGGCAAUUCCCGGGGUUGCUUUCUAGUUUUUUUAUUAAGAAAAAUUUGAUUAUGCAAUCUGUUAAUUACAUCAAUCAGUUAAAUUAUCCAAUGGAAAAGUAAUUGUAAUUGUUUUUAUUUGUAAUGAUUUUAAAUUGGGUUAUAAUAAACAUUUCGGCAUGAA
rnacentral:misc_RNA from 1 species